rnacentral:rRNA from 1 species
CCUUACUGCUAUCGGGGUGGGACUAAGACAUGCGAGCUCGAGCGUCUCUAGCUAUGUUGAGACGCGGCAGACGGCUCAGUAACACGUGGCUAACCUACCCUCAGGACGAGGACAAACCCGGGAAACUGGGGCUAAUACUCGAUAGGUGAGUAUGUCUGGAAUGAUUUCUCACUCAAAGGGCUUUAGGAACAUGCUUCUAAAGUCGCCUGGGGAUGGGGCCGCGUCCGAUCAGGUUGUUGGUGAGGUAAUGGCUCACCAAGCCUAUAACCGGUACGGGCCGUGAGAGCGGUAGCCCGGAGAUGGGUACUGAGACAAGGACCCAGGGCCCUACGGGGCGCAGCAGUCGCGAAAACUCCGCAAUGCACGAAAGUGUGACGGGGCUACCCCGAGUGCCAUUCGCUGAGGAUGGCUUUUCCUUGGUAUAACUCGCCGAGGGAAUAAGGAGAGGGCAAGACUGGUGUCAGCCGCCGCGGUAAUACCAGCUCUCCGAGUGGUAAGGAUGAUUAUUGGGCUUAAAGCGUCCGUAGCCGGCUUAGCAAGUCUCCUGUUAAAUUCAGCGACCUAAUCGUUGAGCCGCGGGAGAUACUACUAGGCUAGGAGGCGGGAGAGGUCGACGGUACUUCUGGGGUAGGGGUGAAAUCCUAUAAUCCCGGGAGGACCACCAGUGGCGAAGGCUGUCGACUAGAACGCGCUCGACGGUGAGGGACGAAAGCUGGGGGAGCGAACCGGAUUAGAUACCCGGGUAGUCCCAGCCGUAAACGAUGCGGGCUAGGUGUUGGGGUGGCUACGUGCCACUUCAGUGCCGCAGGGAAGCCAUUAAGCCCGCCGCCUGGGGAGUACGGCCGCAAGGCUGAAACUUAAAGGAAUUGGCGGGGGAGCACCACAAGGCGUGAAGCUCGCGGUUC